rnacentral:rRNA from 1 species
AGAGUUUGAUCCUGGCUCAGAACGAACGUUGGCGGCGUGGAUUAGGCAUGCAAGUCGAACGAGAACGUCACCUUCGGGUGGCUAGUAAAGUGCGAACGGGUGAGUAACGCGUGGGAAACCUGCCCUCGAGUUGGGGAUAACACUCCCAACGGAGUGCUAAUACCGAAUAAGACCACGGAGUCGCAUGACUCAGCGGUCAAAAGUGGCCUCUACAUGUAAGCUACUGCUUGAGGAUGGUCCCGCGUCCCAUUAGCUUGUUGGUGAGGUAAGAGCUCACCAAGGCUACGAUGGGUAGCUGGUCUGAGAGGAUGGUCAGCCACACUGGGACUGAGAUACGGCCCAGACUCCUACGGGAGGCAGCAGUCGAGAGGCUUCGGCAAUGGGGGAAACCCUGACCGAGCGACGCCGCGUGGGCGAUGAAGGCCGUAAGGUUGUAAAGCCCUGUCAAGAGGGGCGAAAUGCAGGUGUUCGAACAGGGCAUCUGUUUGACGGUACCUCUAAAGGAAGCUCCGGCUAACUCCGUGCCAGCAGCCGCGGUAAUACGGGGGGAGCGAACGUUGUUCGGAAUUACUGGGCGUAAAGGGCGCGCAGGCGGCUUGGUCAGUGGAAUGUGAAAUGCCCUGGCUCAACCAGGGAACGGCAUUCCAUACUGCCAAGCUUGAGUACAGGAGAGGAUGGGGGAAUUCCCGGUGUAGCGGUGGAAUGCAUUGAUAUCGGGAGGAACACCAGUGGCGAAGGCGCCCAUCUGGCCUGAUACUGACGCUCAGGCGCGAAAGCUAGGGGAGCAAACAGGAUUAGAUACCCUGGUAGUCCUAGCCGUAAACGGUGAGCACUAGGUGUAGGAGGCAUCGACCCCUCCUGUGCCGCAGCUAACGCAUUAAGUGCUCCGCCUGGGGAGUACGACCGCAAGGUUGAAACUCAAAGGAAUUGACGGGGCCCCGCACAAGCGGUGGAGCAUGUGGUUUAAUUCGAUCAACGCGAAGAACCUUACCCAGGUUUGACAUGCACCGGAUCGGUGUGGAAACACACUUUCCCUUCGGGGUCGGUGCACAGGUGCUGCACGGCUGUCGUCAGCUCGUGUCGUGAGAUGUUGGGUUAAGUCCCGCAACGAGCGCAACCCUUGUCCUUAGUUGCCAGCAAGUGAAGUUGGGCACUCUAAGGAGACUGCCGUCGAUAAGACGGAGGAAGGUGGGGAUGACGUCAAGUCCUCAUGGUCCUUACACCUGGGGCUACACACGUGCUACAAUGGCCGGUACAGAGGGUUGCAAUGCCGCGAGGUGGAGCUAAUCCCAAAAAGCCGGUCUCAGUUCGGAUUGUAGUCUGCAACUCGACUACAUGAAGGCGGAAUCGCUAGUAAUCGCUGAUCAGCAGGCAGCGGUGAAUAUGUUCCCGGGGCUUGUACACACCGCCCGUCAAGCCACGAAAGUCGGCAGUACCCGAAGUCGCUAUCCUAACCGCAAGGAGGGAAGUGCCUAAGGUAAGGCCGGCGAUUGGGGCUAAGUCGUAACAAGGUA